rnacentral:rRNA from 1 species
CCUACGGGCGGCAGCAGUCGAGAAUCAUUCACAAUGGGGGAAACCCUGAUGGUGCGACGCCGCGUGGGGAAAUGAAGGUCUUCGGAUUGUAAACCCCUGUCAUGUGGGAGCAAAUUAAAAAGAUAGUACCACAAGAGGAAGAGACGGCUAACUCUGUGCCAGCAGCCGCGGUAAUACAGAGGUCUCAAGCGUUGUUCGGAAUCACUGGGCGUAAAGCGUGCGUAGGCUGUUUCGUAAGUCGUGUGUGAAAGGCGCGGGCUCAACCCGCGGACGGCACAUGAUACUGCGAGACUAGAGUAAGGGAGGGGGAACCGGAAUUCUCGGUGUAGCAGUGAAAUGCGUAGAUAUCGAGAGGAACACUCGUGGCGAAGGCGGGUUCCUGGACAUUAACUGACGCUGAGGCACGAAGGCCAGGGGAGCGAAAGGGAUUAGAUACCCCUGUAGUC